CAGAACCUCAGUUCUAGAGCCGGCUCUGCAGGCAGUGGAACGAGCACAAAGCCUAGUGGCCGCCUCUGGCCUCCCGGUCCUGUCUGUAAAGCGGGGGUCCGGGGACUGGUGGGCCUGAGGGGUCUGCUCGGGUCACCCCGUGGGCUCCUCCCCUGGGGCGCAGGCCCGGGCGAGUGGCGCUGCCCUUCCUCGUGGGAAUCCUGCGGGCACCUGCGGCGACGGCUCCAACCGGGAAAGAACAGCGCGUCCCCGCCCCCCGCGCGCUAUGCAUCUCC
rnacentral:lncRNA from 1 species